rnacentral:rRNA from 1 species
CCUACGGGAGGCAGCAGUGGGGAAUAUUGCACAAUGGGCGAAAGCCUGAUGCAGCAACGCCGCGUGAGCGAUGAAGGCCUUCGGGUCGUAAAGCUCUGUCCUCAAGGAAGAUAAUGACGGUACUUGAGGAGGAAGCUCCGGCUAACUACGUGCCAGCAGCCGCGGUAAUACGUAGGGGGCUAGCGUUAUCCGGAAUUACUGGGCGUAAAGGGUGCGUAGGUGGUUUCUUAAGUCAGAGGUAAAAGGCUACGGCUCAACCGUAGUAAGCCUUUGAAACUGGGAAACUUGAGUGCAGGAGAGGUGAGUGGAAUUCCUGGUGUAGCGGUGAAAGGCUUAGAUAUAAGGAGGAACACAGAUUGCGAAGG